rnacentral:rRNA from 1 species
GACGAACGCUGGCGGCGUGCUUAACACAUGCAAGUCGAACGGUAAGGCCCUUCGGGGUACACGAGUGGCGAACGGGUGAGUAACACGUGGGUGAUCUGCCCUGCACUUCGGGAUAAGCCUGGGAAACUGGGUCUAAUACCGGAGAGGACCACUGCCUGCAUGGGUGGUGGUGGAAAGCUUUUGCGGUGUGGGAUGGGCCCGCGGCCUAUCAGCUUGUUGGUGGGGUGAUGGCCUACCAAGGCGACGACGGGUAGCCGGCCUGAGAGGGUGACCGGCCACACUGGGACUGAGAUACGGCCCAGACUCCUACGGGAGGCAGCAGUGGGGAAUAUUGCACAAUGGGCGCAAGCCUGAUGCAGCGACGCCGCGUGAGGGAUGACGGCCUUCGGGUUGUAAACCUCUUUCAGCACCGACGAAGCGCUAGUGACGGUAGGUGCAGAAGAAGGACCGGCCAACUACGUGCCAGCAGCCGCCGUAA